rnacentral:rRNA from 1 species
GCGGCAUGCCUUACACAUGCAAGUCGAACGGCAGCACGGGAGCAAUCCUGGUGGCGAGUGGCGAACGGGUGAGUAAAGUAUCGGAACGUGCCCAGUCGUGGGGGAUAACGUAGCGAAAGUUACGCUAAUACCGNAUACGAUCUAUGGAUGAAAGCGGGGGAUCGCAAGACCUCGCGUUAAUAGAUGAGCCUAAGUCGGAUUAGCUAGUUGGUGGGGUAAAGGCCUACCAAGGCGACGAUCUGUAGCGGGUCUGAGAGGAUGAUCCGNCACACUGGGACUGAGACACGG